GAAAUGCGAUAAGUAAUGUGGAUUGCAGAAUUCAGUGAAUCAUCGAAUCUUUGAACGCACCUUGCGCUCCUUGGUAUUCCUUGGAGCAUGCCUGUUUGAGUAUCAUGAAAUCUUCAAAGUAAAUCUUUUGUUAACUCAAUUGGUUUCUACUUUGGUAUUGGAGGUCUUUGCAGCUUCACACCUGCUCCUCUUUGUUCAUUAGCUGGAUCUCAGUGUUAUGCUUGGUUCCACUCGGCGUGAUAAGUUAUCUAUCGCUGAGGACACUGUAAAAGGUGGCCAAGGUAAAUGCAGAUGAACCGCUUCUAAUAGUCCAUUGACUUGGACAAUACUUUUAUGAUCUGAUCUCAAAUCAGGUAGGACUACCCGCUGAACUUAAGC
rnacentral:misc_RNA from 1 species